CAAACCCAGCUGGGGUUUAGCUCAGCCCAAGCUGGCAGCAGCUUUGCUGGUCUGUGUUGGAGCUUUCCAGCUGGGACAGCAGCAGUUCCUGGGGCAGAACAGGCACAGCAGAACCCCCCAUCUCCACUGCUGGGGGUUUAUCAGCUAGCAUAAAACUGCAGCCCUGUUCUGGUGCAGGCAGCCAGCGGGUAGAGCUCCAGAAGCUCCCCAAGCAAGUGUAUCUCCUCUGUGUGUAGGAGUAGCUGCUGACUGGGAGCAGCACCAUUUCCAAGAACUCCCAAAAGUUACAAGCCUUUGCGUCUUGCUGAAUCAGUGCGAGAUCCAGAGCAGCUCCUCGCUCAGCAGCUCAGAGAAAUCGAAGCUCCUGGUCGCUGCAGCCCAGCCUCAGUGCUGAACGCCAGUAUCUCAUCCCCUCCUCCUCGAGAUGCUCCCUGUGAUUCCUGCACACACACCUGGCCCUAAUGAAAGGGCCCGGCGCCUCCCCAUCGCCCAGCCAGUUAAACCUGCACAAACUGAGCCCAUCGCACACAAAAA